GGUGACGUGUCCGAGUGGCCGAUGGAGCUCGCCUCGAAAGCGAGUGUGGGGCAACCCACCGAGGGUUCAAAUCCCUCCGUCACCGCCA
rnacentral:tRNA from 1 species